AUGCUCUAUCCACUGCACCACCUAGCUGCCCCCAUCACACCUAUUUUUAAAGUUUCAUCUCAAAAGCGAUUUUUUUAGCCUUCACCAUAAUCCUCCAGCCCUUGAGAGACCAAGGGACACAGACCCUAGCUGCUUUGCUCGUCCUUGGGUUAUGAGUUUAUCCCAGGAAGGUGCAGCCAGAACCUGGGGUAUCUCCUGCUCCUUCCCUGCCCCUGAGGUACUCCUGGCAAAGCAGAAGCAUCAGUCUGAUGGCUUAGCUUCUCCCCUGGCUCUUUUCCUUCCAGGCAUGGGAGAAGGCAAGAGAGCUUGGGUGGGUGGGCUGGCUCCUCUUCUCUUGCUCUUUCAGGGGAAGGGAGCAGCAGCCUAGCAGCCAGCCUCCUACCUGGUUCCCAUGGACUGUGAGCAGCCCUCUCCCAUCCCCUCUGGAUCCUAAUAUAGAGUCUGGACAUGCCUCCUGGGAAAGACUGAUGGUACUGCUUCUACCUGAUGAUGGCAAGCCUGAUGGUUCUGCUGCCACUUGAUGGUAGCAAACCUGAUGGUGCUGCUGCUCCCAGGGCUCUCUUCCUUCCAUACAUGAGUGGAGGCAGUUAAGGAUUUCUUCUUGGACAAUAUUAGGUCUAAAUUUGGGGAUUCACUGAUUUCUUUGUUCUCUUUACAUCCUCAGGUUUAUCUUAGCCCUUCCCCAGCACAGAGCACGCCUCCAAAGCUGAGGAUAAGUGAGGCUACCUCUACGUCAUCUGGUCUUCCUCCUUGUAAAGGCAGCAGCAACAUGGUGGUCCUCCUCUGCCUUCUAGGCAUUGAUGGAGACAGGAGGAUGCUUCCCUUCCCAGGGGCAAAGCAAGAGAAGAACUAGGCCAUCCAUCCAUCUAGAACCAACAGACUGUGACCUCAAUGCUUUGCUCUCUACUCUGUUCCUGCAAAGACACAAUUUGUCCUGGUUGUAUGUUUUCUGCUAGCUGCAUCAAAAGAGGUUGGGCAAAGUUGGAGACUCCAAAGGAAAAACACAAGAGAAUCUGGUAGAUGGUCGAGGUGGUCCUCAGUCCUGAUGGAGAAAAGGAAACCUCCUAAGGGUCAUUUUUGGAGAAUUUAGCACCGACAUCAGGAAAAUGUUCCAGAAAAGCACAGCCAAUAACUGAUGCUGGGGAAAAAAAUAUGAUGCGGAAAAUUGGGAACGAUGUAUCGUAAAGACUAAUUACUGAGAGAAGAAAGUAUGUAAGUCUGCCCUGAUCUAUUCACGUUCAGAUGAUAUCCAGAGGGAAGAAUGCUUGUCCUGAAAAGGGAAGGGAAGGGAAUAAGCAUUUAUAGAGUGCCUCCUGUGUCCCAUGCACUGCCUGUGCUCAGGGCCUUUACAAAUGUUAUCUCAUUUGACCCUCAUAAGAGCCUUACAAGGCUAACAUUAUCUCUAUAACAAUUAUUAUGCUGAUAUUUUCUCCAUUUUACAGUUGAGGAAAUGGAGGAAAAUAGAGGUUAAAUGACUUGCCUAGGAUCCCACAUUUA